CAGUAGCCGCGGGAAUACGAAGGGGGCUAGCGUUGCUCGGGAUGACUGGGCGUAAAGGGCGCGUAGGCGGUUUGUUUAGUUAGGCGUGAAAUUCCUGGGCUCAACCUGGGGACUGCGUUUAAUACAGGCAGACUAGAGUGUGAAAGAGGGUUGUGGAAUUCCCAGUGUAGAGGUGAAAUUCGUAGAUAUUGGGAAGAACACCGGUGGCGAAGGCGGCAACCUGGUUCAUGACUGACGCUGAGGCGCGAAAGCGUGGGGAGCAAACAGGAUUAGAUACCCGCGUAGUCCCUGUCUCUUAUAC
rnacentral:rRNA from 1 species